rnacentral:rRNA from 1 species
GAUGAACGCUGGCGGCGUGCCUAAUACAUGCAAGUCGAGCGAACGGACGAGAAGCUUGCUUCCCUGAUGUUAGCGGCGGACGGGUGAGUAACACGUGGAUAACCUACCUAUAAGACUGGGAUAACUUCGGGAAACCGGAGCUAAUACCGGAUGAUAUUUUGAACCGCAUGGUUCAAAAGUGAAAGACGGUCUUGCUGUCACUUAUAGAUGGAUCCGCGCUGCAUUAGCUAGUUGGUAAGGUAACGGCUUACCAAGGCAACGAUGCAUAGCCGACCUGAGGGGGUGAUCGGCCACACGGGAACUGAGACACGGUCCAGACUCCUGCGGGAGGCAGCAGUAGGGAAUCUUCCGCAAUGGGCGAGAGCCUGACGGAGCAACGCCGCGUGAGUGAUGAAGGUCUUCGGAUCGUAAAACUCUGUUAUUAGGAAAGAACAUAUGUGUAAGUAACUGUGCACAUCUUGACGGUACCUAGUCAGAAAGCCACGGCUAACUACGUG